rnacentral:rRNA from 1 species
GUCUACGGCCAUGCCACCCUGAACGUGCCCGAUCUCGUCUGAUCUUGGAAGCUGAGCAGGGACGGGCCUGGUUAGCACUUGGAUGGGAGACCACCUAGGAAUACCAGGUGCUGUAGGCA